rnacentral:lncRNA from 1 species
UUCAUCUCAAUUCUCACCUAGUGCAACAGGACACGUACCCUCUGUCCGCUUUCUGUCCAAGUCCUAAUAAAGUAUGCUUAAAAUCUGAAGAACCAAAACCGUGGACCAUCACCGCCGGGAUCCCAUCCCAAUUCCACAGAAUUUGAGGUUUCCACACUCGUCAUUCCCAGUACUUAUACCACCCGAAAAUCCAAGCGAAAUCCCACCUCCCAGACCUCGAAGCCUGGAGCUCACAGGCGACGGACGCGAAGAUUCGAUUUCUGCGAUUCUUGGAGCCCUCUUGUGCCGCGGUCUUGAAAUCUAGCCGCGAUUUUUGUUUCCUCCCUUCCGGUGGACGCUGCCGUGGCUGCGCACCCUUUGUGUCUUGCGUGUCUGCGCUGCUGAUGCUGACNNNNNNNNNNNNNNNNNNNNNNNNNNNNNNNNNNNNNNNNNNNNNNNNNNNNNNNNNNNNNNNNNNNNNNNNNNNNNNNNNNNNNNNNNNNNNNNNNNNNCGCGGAGGAAAACGGAGUGCCCCGUGGGAAGAAGAAAAACGGAGUGUGGACAAAGGAAAGGAGACGAGGAAGAUAGAAAAAUUAGAAACGAACCCGGUACUUGUGUAACCAGUGGCAAUGGUGGGUAAAUAACCCCCAACUCCAUGAGAAGGUCUGAAAAGGAGGUUUUUGGAGCACCUCUUGAGGUACUCCACAAAAAACGUGGAUCUACCCCCUGCUCCACCUUUUUUCUGGAGCCGGAGUUGUUGGAGCUAGACGCGUUUGGUUGCGAAAUUUUCAGAGUUGGUGGAGUGGAGCAAUUUUUUGUGGAGUGGAGUGCUCCCAAACACCCCCUAAGUGGGCCUGAACUGAACUACCAACGGCCCGCGGGCCUCACGGGCCCAUUUGAACAGUUGAUCGUAUUUUUUUUCGUUCGCAAUUUUUUUAAAUACUCUUAAUCGUUUCUGUAGAAAUUUAUGUGUGGGCUCUGUUUUGUUUCUGCAGGUUAUGAAGGUUGCAAAUACGUAUCCAUGUGAAUGAUAUUUUCGAUACAUUCUUGUGCAAAUAACCACCCUGCUGGCUGCUGUCGACUGCAUCAUCAAUUCAUCAUUCAUCAGUACAUACAUGUCAUAUUGUUUUUAUUAGUUGGUCUACCUCUACCUGUUAUAUCAUAGGCAUAAACGGUUGUUUUGUAUUUCUUCUGUUUUGUAAGAAGAAAGGAACUGGGUUGAUGUAUGGAUGGUAAAAUUGCAGAGUAUUGAGGAACAAUGAUUUGAGUGUGUUUGGAAUUUGGAGCGCAAAAAACACUGCAGGAAUCGGAAUUUUUUCCUUGGAAAUCGCAAUCAACAUUAGUUUUUAGCAUAGAAAAGGCUGACAUUUAUUUUUUUUAAAAAAAUCAUAUUUCACAUUUUUUAAGUAGGUUCUUAUUAAAAUGACACUGGCUUAAGACUAGGCGACUAGCUAACGUUUUCAAUCGGCAAAACAACUGCAAGCUCAACAUUAUUUUGGCAAGUGUCAUAUGCGUUGGAACAUGAUACUUGUGUGAAAUAAGAUCAAACACUAAGUAAAUAUAUAAGAAAUAGCUAUAUACGUACUCCUCGCAAAAAAUAAAAACAAACUAGCUAUAUACGUAGUACUAGUAUCAUUUCCUCUUCAUGAUGAAGUUUAAAGCAUAUUACAUUUUAUACUCGCUAUUUCCUCUUCACUGUAGACAGAGGUACACUACUGCAGUUUUCCUAUUUCCAUAGGGUUUGAAUUUCUAUGAAAAGGCCUCAAAACGAUAGGGGUAUACUUUGCCUACGGGUUUGGGUAGGGAGCAUUGUUUUGCGAUCCUAGUGAUCCGUUGCUCUUUUCUUUUUGACAUUGACUUUUGUAAUAUUUUGCUAUGGUAUUCAAUUGGUUAUGUUGUAUGGAGACUUGUACCAUGCUAGGCAUUCAGCCGUGUUUGGCAAGAGUCCGGUUUUCUGGAAACGGAGAAGGCGUUUUUCACUAAAAACACCAAUUUAGAUGAUUCUCUUUUAAUAAAUAAAAUAGAAACGUCUCUUCGGUUUCUCAUCGCAAUAAAAAAUAGGAGGGCUUUUCCGAUCGAAAUGAAGAAGUCAUGCCAAAUGGCCAAUCAUCAUUUAGCAAGAAAAGUGCACCACAUCGGACUAAUCUCAAUGAAAAGUUUCGUGUGAUGUUUUCAAGAUAGUCACAUAAGCAAGAUUGAAAUGAAAUGGUGUUUGAAAUUACCAUCUCCAAUGCAUAAUUUCAUGAUGUGGUUUCAUACGAUCAAAAUCGUAUUUAAUUUCAUGACUCAUAGAGCGUUGAUAUUCGUAUACAGUUGGUUUCAUCCCGGUGAAACUAGUUCCCUCUCUCCUCUUUAAUUUUAUACAUGUCAAAAAAUCUUAUGUGGCAUGUUAAUUAAUGAGAAUGAAAGCUCGUGAAAUUCCGUAUUGGGAGUAGCCUCACAACCCCCAAACAGAUAUCUGUUACUGAUGCUAGACCAGCUGACAUGGAUCCGAUCUGUGUUUGGUCUGUUGCUGACAUAGCACACCUAUCCCGUGCAAUUUGCAAGGAAAGGCUUGUCAAUAGAAAAAGAAAAGCUACGAGCUACUCACAGCUUGGCUCGAAGCGGCUCGAUUUGAGAUCGGCUCGUUUAGAAAUCGAGCCGAGCUGGAGGCCCAAGCCCCGAGCUCGCGAGCUUUGACUAGCCAAUCUUGAGCUAGGCUCGUUUCACGUUUGUUUCUUUCGCUCCACCAGUAACCGUAACCGGCAGCUCGAAACCCUGGACCCACAAGUCAGCGUGUCACCCACAGAGACCAACGGGCCCCACGUCAUUCCCGUCCCCCAGUUCAGCGCUGCCCCCGGAUCUCUCCCUUCCUGCUCGUCGUCUCCUCGCUCGCCGCCCGGCCACCUGCGCCCACCGGCGGCUGCCCUUCCACAGAUCCCGUGCCCCCCCCCCCCCCCACUCGGUCGUCGCCGACCAGCCGGUGUUCUGCAAUCUGCACGGAUCUCAGGUUCGGCUCACUUUCUGUCGAACUUGAGGUUGAGGUCGCGGGCGAGCUCGAGCUCGGCUCGUUGGCUGCCCAUUCAUCUCAAUUCUCACCUAGUGCAACAGGACACGUACCCUCUGUCCGCUUUCUGUCCAAGUCCUAAUAAAGUAUGCUUAAAAUCUGAAGAACCAAAACCGUGGACCAUCACCGCCGGUAUCCCAUCCCAAUUCCACAGAUUUGAGGUUUCCACACUCGUCAUUCCCAGUACUUAUACCACCCGAAAAUCCAAGCGAAAUCCCACCUCCCAGACCUCGAAGCCUGGAGCUCACAGGCGACGGACGCGAAGAUUCGAUUUCUGCGAUUCUUUGGAGCCCUCUUGUGCCGCCGGGUUCUUGAAAUCUUAGGCCGCGAUUUUUGUUUCCUCCCUUUCCGGUUGGACGGCUGCCGUGGCUGGCGCAC